GGAAUAUUGGGCAAUGGAGGCAACUCUGACCCAGCAACGCCGCGUGAAUGAAGAAGGUCUUAGGAUUGUAAAGUUCUUUUAUAGCAGGCGAAAAAAAUGACGGUAUGCUAUGAAUAAGCCACGGCUAACUACGUGCCAGCAGCCGCGGUAAUACGUAGGUGGCAAGCGUUGUCCGGAAUGACUGGGUGUAAAGGGUGUGUAGGUGGUCACUUAAGUGUAACGUGAAAUCCCUGGGCUUAACCCAGGAACUGCAUUACAUACUGGGUGACUUGAGUACUGAAAGGGCAAGUGGAACUCCAAGUGUAGCGGUAGAAUGCGUAGAUAUUUGGAAGAACAACGGAGGCGAAGGCGGCUUGCUGGGCAGCAACUGACACUGAAACACGAAAGCGUGGGGAUCAAACA
rnacentral:rRNA from 1 species